GAACGCUGGAGGCAUGCUUUACACAUGCAAGUCUAACGGAUUAAAGAGCUUGCUCUUUAGUUAGUGGCGAACGGGUGAGUAAUAUAUCGGAACAUAUCCGGAAGUGGGGGAUAACGUAGCGAAAGUUACGCUAAUACCGCAUAUGCCCUGAGGGGGAAAGGGGGGGAUCGCAAGACCUCUCGCUUUCGGAGUGGCCGAUAUCGGAUUAGCUAGUAGGUGAGGUAAAGGCUCACCUAGGCGACGAUCCGUAGCUGGUCUGAGAGGACGACCAGCCACACUGGAACUGAGGCACGGUCCAGACUCCUACGGGAGGCAGCAGUGGGGAAUUUUGGACAAUGGGCGAAAGCCUGAUCCAGCCAUACCGCGUGAGUGAAGAAGGCCUUCGGGUUGUAAAGCUCUUUCAGCCGGAAAGAAAUUGCUUCUAUUAAUACUAGGAGUAGAUGACGGUACCGGAAGAAGAAGCACCGGCUAACUACGUGCCAGCAGCCGCGGUAAUACGUAGGGUGCGAGCGUUAAUCGGAAUUACUGGGCGUAAAGCGUGCGCAGGCGGUUUUUUAAGUCAGAUGUGAAAUCCCCGGGCUCAGCCUGGGAACUGCAUUUGAAACUGGAAGACUAGAGUAUAGCAGAGGGGGGUAGAAUUCCACGUGUAGCAGUGAAAUGCGUAGAUAUGUGGAGGAAUACCAAUGGCGAAGGCAGCCCCCUGGGUUAAUACUGACGCUCAUGCACGAAAGCGUGGGGAGCAAACAGGAUUAGAUACCCCGGGUAGUCCACCGCCCUAAACCAAUGUCAACUAAGGUGUUGGGGGGAGGAGACUUCCUUUAUUACCCGAAGCUAACCCCGUGAAGUUUAACCGCCCUGGGGAAGUACGGGUCGCAAGGAUUAAAACUCCAAAGGAAUUUGACGGGGGACCCGCCACAAACCGGUGGGAUUAUGUGG
rnacentral:rRNA from 1 species